rnacentral:rRNA from 1 species
AACGAACGCUGGCGGCAGGCUUAACACAUGCAAGUCGAACGCAUCGCAAGAUGAGUGGCAGACGGGUGAGUAACGCGUGGGAACAUACCCUUUUCUACGGAAUAGCUCUGGGAAACUGGAAUUAAUACCGUAUACGCCCUACGGGGGAAAGAUUUAUCGGGGAAGGAUUGGCCCGCGUUGGAUUAGCUAGUUGGUGGGGUAAAGGCCUACCAAGGCGACGAUCCAUAGCUGGUCUGAGAGGAUGAUCAGCCACAUUGGGACUGAGACACGGCCCAAACUCCUACGGGAGGCAGCAGUGGGGAAUAUUGGACAAUGGGCGCAAGCCUGAUCCAGCCAUGCCGCGUGAGUGAUGAAGGCCUUAGGGUUGUAAAGCUCUUUCACCGAUGAAGAUAAUGACGGUAGUCGGAGAAGAAGCCCCGGCUAACUUCGUGCCAGCCGCCGCCGUAACAC